UCCCCUACGGGAGGCAGCAGUGGGGAAUAUUGCACAAUGGGGGAAACCCUGAUGCAGCGACGCCGCGUGAGUGAAGAAGUAUUUCGGUAUGUAAAGCUCUAUCAGCAGGAACGAGACAAGACGGUACCUGACUAAGAAGCCCCGGCUAACUACGUGCCAGCAGCCGCGGUAAUACGUAGGUGGCAAGCGUUAUCCGGAAUGACUGAGCGUAAAGGGUGCGUAGGUGGUUUAGUAAGUUGGCGGUGUAAUUCCGGGGCUCAACCUCGGCGCUACCGCCAAAACUAUUAGACUAGAGUGCAGGAGGG
rnacentral:rRNA from 1 species